rnacentral:misc_RNA from 1 species
AACGCACAUUGCGCCCUUUGGUAUUCUGAAGGGCAUACCUGUUCGAGCGUCAUUUGACCCCUCAAGCGUAGCUUGGUUUUGGGCGUUUUUGUCCUAUUUCUGUAAUGGGACUCGCCUUAAAAGUAUCGGCGCCAAGUAAGCCAAUUCGCGGGCACAGUACAAUGUGGCUCCCAUGAUUGGGUUAGCGUAGCUGCCGUUAAAUCUUUUUCUAUUCUGAAUUGACCUCGGAUCAGGUAGGGAUACCCGCUGAACUUAA